UGCGGUUAUACAAAAAUUAAAUUAAUUUUUUUUAGGGUUUAAUAAAUAAAAGUUAAAUUAAUAAUUUAAAUUUUAAAUUAUAAGGUGAAAUUUUAAUUUAAUUAAAAUUUAUUUAUUUUUAUGACAUUAAUAAAUUUUAUAAAAAACUAGGAUUAGAUACCCUAUUAUAAAAAUUUAAAUUUAAUAAUCUUAAAAUAGUAUAUAAUUUUUUAUAGAAACUUAAAUAAUUUGGCGGUAUUUUAGUUCAUUUAGAGGAAUCUGUCUAAUAAUUGAUAAUCCACGAUUAAAUUUACUUAAUUUUUAAUUUUGUAUAUCGUUGUUAAAAAAAUAUUUUUAAAUAAUUAUAAUAUUUUAAAAUUUAAAUAAAAAAUUAAAUCAGAUCAAGAUGCAGAUUAUAAUUAAGAAUAUGAUGGAUUACAAUAAAAUUUAUUUUAUUUGGAUAUUAAUUUGAAAUAAAUUAAUUGAAAUUGGAUUUAAAUGUAAUUUUAUUAAUUUUAAUAAAAUGAUUUUAAAUUAAAAUAUGUACAUAUUGCCCGUCGCUUUCAUUUAUAAAUUGAAAUAAGUCGUAACAAAGUAGAAGUACUGGAAAGUGUUUCUAGAAAGAU
rnacentral:rRNA from 1 species